GGCAUGGUGGCUCACACCUGUAAUCCCAGCACUUUGGGAGGGUGAGGCAGGUGAAUCGCUUGAACUCAAAAUCCUGACCUCAGGUGAUCCGCCCACCUCAUCUUCCCAAAGUGCUGGGAUUACAGGAGUGAGCCACCGCGCCCGGGCAGAUUAUUUGAAUACUUUUAGUAUACCAUUUUAAUUUAUCUAUUGGGUUUUGAUUAUAUUUCUUAUUUUAAAAUUGUUUUAACAUUUUUUCCUUGUCUUCAGGAUUUUCUAGGUAUAUAUUUCUUUCUAUAGUGCUUCUGUACAAAGAAAUAUACUAUAGCAUACUAAUUUUAGUUCUGUACAAAAAAAUUUCUAUGUCUUCUAUACAAAAAAGAAAUUCUACAAGGAAAGUUUUAAAAUUGCUCUAGGAAUUACAAUAUACAUAUUUAGCUUUUGACAGUCUACUUAGAAUUGCUAUUCGAUCCCUUUAAGUGGAAUAUAGAAUCUUUUCGCUAGAUAGGUUCCUUUAGUCUCCCCUAGUUUGGCUCACGGCUCACGGGAGCUUACAGAACAAUUUUUACUCCUAAUCUAAAUGUGCUUUGAACUAAACCUCUUGAAGUCAAAUAUUAAUGUAUAGGACUUCUAGUUGAAGACGGAAUAUUUGCAUUCAUUUCCAUCCCUUCCUGAACCCAAAUGAAAUGAUUGUAAAGGAU
rnacentral:lncRNA from 1 species